rnacentral:tRNA from 1 species
GGCUCGAAAGCUCAGUGGUAGAGCACUUGCAAGAUGAGCGAUUGUCCCAGGUUUGACCCUGGUCGAAUCA